GCGCCCGUAGCUCAGUGGAUAGAGCACCGGACUUCUAAUCCGAUGGUCGGAGGUUCGAAUCCUCCCGGGCGCA
rnacentral:tRNA from 1 species